rnacentral:siRNA from 1 species
AGCUGCGGUGGUGAUUCAAGAGAU